rnacentral:siRNA from 1 species
UGUCUGCGGUUCGAAUCCGGAC